CCCAACCCAAUGUGAACGUUACCAAACUGUUGCCUCGGCGGGAUCUCUGCCCCGGGUGCGUCGCAGCCCCGGACCAAGGCGCCCGCCGGAGGACCAACCAAAACUCUUAUUGUAUACCCCCUCGCGGGUUUUUUUAUAAUCUGAGCCUUCUCGGCGCCCCUCGUGGGCGUUUCGAAAAUGAAUCAAAACUUUCAACAACGGAUCUCUUGGUUCUGGCAUCGAUGAAGAACGCAGCGAAAUGCGAUAAGUAAUGUGAAUUGCAGAAUUCAGUGAAUCAUCGAAUCUUUGAACGCACAUUGCGCCCGCCAGUAUUCUGGCGGGCAUGCCUGUCCGAGCGUCAUUUCAACCCUCGAACCCCUCCGGGGGGUCGGCGUUGGGGAUCGGCCCUCCCUCUGCGGGGGCCGUCUCCGAAAUACAGUGGCGGUCUCGCCGCAGCCUCUCCUGCGCAGUAGUUUGCACACUCGCACCGGGAGCGCGGCGCGUCCACAGCCGUUAAACACCCAACUUUCUGAAAUGUUGACCUCGGAUCAGGUAGGAAUACCCGCUGAACUUAAGCAUAUCAA
rnacentral:rRNA from 1 species